rnacentral:rRNA from 1 species
CAGUAGCCGCGGUAAUACGAAGGGUGCAAGCGUUAAUCGGAAUUACUGGGCGUAAAGCGUGCGUAGGCGGUGAGUUAAGUCUGCUGUGAAAUCCCCGGGCUCAACCUGGGAAUGGCAGUGGAUACUGGCUCGCUAGAGUGUGUCAGAGGAUGGUGGAAUUCCCGGUGUAGCGGUGAAAUGCGUAGAGAUCGGGAGGAACAUCAGUGGCGAAGGCGGCCAUCUAGGACAACACUGACGCUGAGGCACGAAAGCGUGGGGAGCAAACAGGAUUAGAUACCCCGGUAGUCCCUGUCUCUUAUAA